CGUGGCUGGAGUUUGCGGCAGAGUUUGAGAGAGAGAGAAGGGGAUUGGGAGUGCAGCAGAUGCAGGAAUCGAUGCGAGCAGCCCCAACUCCUCUCCACGCCAAAACCCCUAAAUGGUUCCCUCAAAAGUAAACAUACGUAUUUCGUGGAGCCGUAGUCGAGAUCUGGAGAAGCCCGUCGUCCAUCGCUGUUCUUUGUCGUUCGCCGUCGUCCAUCGCUGUUCUUUGUCGUUCGCCGUCGUCCGUCCAUUUUCGUCCGUCAGUCAGCACCCUAAACCAAAGCCGAGGUUGUAAUGCAAAAAGUUGCAAUGCAUGGAGUUUGUCUUCGAACUCAUCCACAUUAUCAUUCCUGGGCCCAAGAACCACCAGAACAACAUUCACUACCUUUGACGAGUAUGGCCAUUAACCGGGGACAGUAGUUCUGGGUUUCCAUAUGCUAACCAAGCAAAUCAGCCGCCGAUAGUUUAUAGUGGAUAACUAAAUGGUGACUAGAUCUGCAUUUGUGGCUUCCAAAACUAUUCUUCUUGUGAACAGUGCAAAAAGUGCAAUGCUUUUUGAUAUUUUAUUCAGUAAAUUCGACAGUCAGACAAGGCUCCAUCACGUCGAUUGCUCCAGGUCAUUGUGUCAAUUGUACAGGUUGGCAUAUUGGUUGGGGUUAUGGUGAAGGUACUGGCAGUGAUGCCAAUAAAGGAGAUGGUGAUGCAGUUGUUGGCUUUAGUGUCGACUGUCGAGAAUGGAGAUAUUUUUCCUCAUAUCUCUAUUUUUGUUCCCCUCUCUUCUUUAAGCAAAAAUUUGCUGAUGUUGUGAAGGUUGUGGUGCUUGUGUUGUCAGUGGGGUGUUUCAUGAUAUGAAAGGCAGUUCAUUGGCAAAUUAUGAUUGGCACAUUUCGUGGUGGAGCUACCUUUGGCAAUGGGGUAAUGGUAAAGUGGUGGUAGUCUGGUAGUGAUGUUUCGGAAUUCAAAGCAAUUAUGUACUCGAGGGAAGGAUAUGCAAAUUAUUGUCUUUGGCUUUCGCCCACGGACAAAGCAGAUGCCUGCACUGGAAAUCCAUUGCCUGGUAUAAAGGGAUGUGAAAAUUGAUGAGGCUUUGCCCUUUUUGGCUCAAUUUUUUCAAUUGGGUCCCUUGGUUGGUUCUCUUGCAGAUUUGUUCCUAGGGGGUGUUUCUUGUAAAAGUGAUGGUGUUGGGUAGUCAAUGAGUGUGGAGUGGUUUCCUCUGUUGUGUGCUAGCUUGGAUGGGAUGUGUUGCGGAGAAUGGACGAGUUUGGUCCAUUCAUAUUUGUCGUUCCCCUGCUUCUUCGCUUGGGUGAGUUGAUCUCUUCUUAGGUUUUUUAUUUUAUCUUGGUUUUUAGUUUGUCUGCUCACAUUUUUUGUUUCACGAGAUUUGAGUGGAACUAGUGACGCCUUUCUUCGUUCGGCCGGACGUCAGAGAGGCGUUCAAGACCUACGCGGAGGGUGGGGCCCAAAUGACCACAUCUUCGGCGACGGCCAGAGCCAUGGCCACCGACGCCGAGCUCAUACUAGUGCAGAUCCUUUGAAAAUGACACCACAUCACCAAGUUCAUCAGGCGCACUCUCACUCUUGAGGAUUUCCACGAGUUCCUCUUCUCCGUCAAUCUUAAUCCCCCGGUUGGCUCUCUGGUUCACCGUGACAUGAGCAUUCCAUCGUCCCAUUACUUUAUCUACACAAAGCAUAAUUCUUAUUUGACCGGGAACCAGCUCAGCAGUGCUUGCAGUGAUGUUCCAAUCAUAAAGGCAUGGAAAAGAGGUGUAAGGGUGAUAGAGCUUGAUAUAUGGCCCAAUUUCACAAAAAAUGAUGUGCAUGUUCUUCAUGGAAGGUACGACUAAAACCUUCCAAGCCUUUGGUUGUGGCGUAAUGUUCUCCUCAACAUUUCUUAUUGUACCU